GAUGAGAGUACGGGAUCGCCUGACCGAAACCCUCGCGAUUGAGAUCGAGCGAAGCGGAGGCGCAGGCGGGAGAGAUGCCGAAUAGGGAGCUAUUUGCCCGACCCAACGUCUCGUCGUCGGCGUCCGCCGAAGGGAACCGCAUGGCCUUCCUCAACUGGUCCGGUGGAGCUCGCUUCGAUCAGCACCUCGACGCCGAGCAUGCAGGUGCAAGAUCAGAAAGGAUUUCUUCCUCUGAGAAGUUGCCAUGAUGCAUGUAUCUGUGAUCACUUCUGUUCUUGUGCAGAUCAAUAUUGGAGGAUUCACUAAAAUGAGACAGUCAACUGGAAUUAUCGAGGUGACGCUUUAGGAAACCCCAAGAAAACUCAAAAUCACUUCAUCAUCACAGUAAGAUGUGCCAGGAAGGCUGCUGGGAAUGAAUUCUCAUUGUGAACUACAUUCUUCAUCAGAGGAACUGGAUCUUAACAGAUAUGUAACUCGCUUAGAACUAAGUCUACUCCUUUUACCAAGGGAAGUCAAUCAUGUACAGAACCAGCUUGACGGGACUUCAUGUUGAGCCGACAAUUCCACAUUGGCAAAAUCCAUCGGUCCUUGCAUUAUUGCAUGCAAUGCUCGUCGGCAGGACUUCAUUAUAAGUUGAAUCUGUAGGUUAGCAAAUUAAUGGACAUGACAUUUUUUGAAGUCUGAAAAAUAUCUUAGACUGUGCCCCAUUGUGGUGGGUGAGAUGGGCCUGCCUCAAUCAAUCAUUUGUGACCAAGCAAUCUGCAUGCCUCCUGCUGCAUCUGCUUGUGAAUCAUCUGCUGGAGCUUGAUGGCACUUGAGAAGAAGAUACCACCAACACCAGGAGGGGCCACAUUUGAUGGCACUUGAGAAGAAGAUACCACCAACACCAGGAGCGGCUUGUGGCCCCUCAGCGGCUGUUUAAUAUGGGAUCUUUAAGGUGUUCUUGUUGAGUAGGUGUAUGUCUAAAGGAUAAAGCAGAGGGAUAUGAUGAUAAUUAUUAUGUUAGCUGAUGUUUAUUAUGCUUGAUCCUGUGGGGACCUGGUAAACUCUUUUAUCACCUUCUGUAUAUAUUAUUACUAGGUUCAUUGGAGUU